AUGCCAGGCACCAGAGGCGCGACCGUACUGGACGACCUUCCCGAGUGGAUCGUUGUCGAAGAGAUCCUCGUCCGCUUGCCGCCCAAGGACAUCCUCCGCUGCCGCGCCGUCUGCAGGUGGUGGCACAACGCCACCUCCGCCGACAAGUUCAUGCUGGACCACCACCGCCGCCAGCCCUUGCUCCCGAUUCUCAGCCACAUCAUCGCCCCGCAGAAAGCAUGCCUCCUGUUUUCCUUUGGGGCCUCCGCAGGCAAGCAAAAGCUCUGCCCUGUCAUCCGGACCUACAAGUUUGGUGAAAUCGUGGCUGCCCAUGAUGGGCUCCUCAUCGUCUCCCAUGGCCUUGGAAAUGAGUUCUUCAUCUGCAACCCGGUCACUCGCAAGUGUGCUCCCCUAGCGAAGCCUGAUAGUCAACGUGGUAUUUAUAACCAGAUUGUCGGAUUCUAUCGGCACCAACCAACCGGAGGAGAAUACCGGGUGCUUUGGCAAUCUAGUCCGAGAUGCUACAACGCAUAUGACACAAAGUAUAUGACUCUCUACUACGCCAUAGCGGUGGGAUCCGAUAAAAUAAGAUACUUCAGACUAGGAUGCAUCCCACAACCAACAUCUUCUUCGCCUUCCUUGGAGCUGGCGUUACGCAAGGGCCUGCCCAGUUCAUCUCAAUAUCCACCAGUCCACCACCGUGGCGGCCUGCACUGGGAACUUGAAAAAUAUCAUGGCUGGGAUGCCGACUGCAUAAUGGUGUUCAACACAGCAGCUGAAACAUUUCGGUUGAUGUCUCGUCCUGCCCGAUUGGGCAAGUGCUUACAUGAGUCGUUGCUGGAGAUGAAUGACACUCUUGCUUUGUGCAGCAUCAGCAUUGACAAACACACCAUAGAUGUUUGGGUGGUACAGGAUUACGAUGCCGAGACCUGGUCUUUCAGGCAUCAGAUUGAUUUGACCGGGGUGGAUCCAUCAGCGCUUGUUGGUCUAGGGGUGACAAUGAUCCCUACGAUGGCUGCUCUCAAUGAGGGUGAGCUGCUGAUCCAGUUCACUUCCACUCGUAGGCGUGUGUUGCAUUUUGAUAGUGAUGGCAAGUUUUUAGGAUAUGUGAAGAGUGAAGGUGACCAAGAAAUCAAAUUGUGCGUUACCAAGCAUUACCUCCGGGGGAGCAUUAUUCCCCUUCCACUGUCCCAUGAGAUGAGAGAAGAAGAUGCUGCAAAUCAGGAGCCUCCAUUUUUUGUAGGCCUGUAG
rnacentral:rRNA from 1 species